rnacentral:rRNA from 1 species
AUUGAACGCUGGCGGCAGGCCUAACACAUGCAAGUCGAACGGUAACAGAAAGCAGCUUGCUGCUUUGCUGACGAGUGGCGGACGGGUGAGUAAUGUCUGGGAAACUGCCUGAUGGAGGGGGAUAACUACUGGAAACGGUAGCUAAUACCGCAUAACGUCGCAAGACCAAAGAGGGGGACCUUCGGGCCUCUUGCCAUCGGAUGUGCCCAGAUGGGAUUAGCUAGUAGGUGGGGUAACGGCUCACCUAGGCGACGAUCUCUAGCUGGUCUGAGAGGAUGACCAGCCACACUGGAACUGAGACACGGUCCAGACUCCUACGGGAGGCAGCAGUGGGGAAUAUUGCACAAUGGGCGCAAGCCUGAUGCAGCCAUGCCGCGUGUAUGAAGAAGGCCUUCGGGUUGUAAAGUACUUUCAGCGGGGAGGAAGGGAGUAAAGUUAAUACCUUUGCUCAUUGACGUUACCCGCAGAAGAAGCACCGGCUAACUCCGUG